UACGUAGGGGGCAAGCGUUGUCCGGAUUUAUUGGGCGUAAAGAGCGUGUAGGCGGCCAGGUAGGUCCGCUGUGAAAACUCGAGGCUCAACCUCGAGAUGUCGGCGGAAACCAUCUGGCUAGAGUCCGGAAGAGGAGAGUGGAAUUCCUGGUGUAGCGGUGAAAUGCGCAGAUAUCAGGAGGAACACCGAUGGCGAAGGCAGCUCGCUGGGACGGUACUGACGCUGAGACGCGAAAGCGUGGGGAGCGAACAGG
rnacentral:rRNA from 1 species